rnacentral:lncRNA from 1 species
GGGGACCGUGUCCUGAUCUAUCUUUGUCGUCCGAGACCUUUGCCAUGACAGGUGCGCUUGCAUGGCAGGUCACCAAACUUAAUAAAAAAUAGAACUUUUUUUGUGGUGUUUUUUGAGGGGAGAUCGCACGGGGGUUUGCCCGGGUUCUCCCUUCUGCUGUGGUGUCUAGUAUCGUGUCUUCUCUUCUUUUUUCUUCUAUUUCCCUUGCUCUCUUUCCAUUAUUUUGCAUCAUACGGGAUGGAUGUAUGAUCCAACAUCAUCACCAACGUCGGAAUAAGCUCAUGAACUCCAAGCUAUAUCACUAGCGAUUCUCAAGGCCAAGGUAUUAUUUUUCCAUAUUUUUAACACCCAAUCCGCCUUAUCUAAUUCUACUUUAAAAUCUAAUUAUAAAUUUUAUUAUCAUGCAAUUAGUUAACUUGACAAAAGUCAAUAAGUCGUAAUAAUUAGAUUUUAACAUAUUUUUAAGGGUUUAAUCUUUUAUAUUAAUAAUUGAUCUUAGAUUUAAUACAUUUUUGAAAGAAGAGGUAAUUUUAUUCGAAUUUCUGUAACUAUUGAUUUAUUCCUUGCUCGUUUCUUGAAAAAGAGCAUGAUUGAUUUUAAAGUUAAUUCAUUGAUAAUUGUUUAUUAAAUUGAUACCAGUUAUCUAAUCUUUGAAAUAAGUUUGAUUUAAUUUAAAGUUGAAUUAUUUGAUUUAGUAAUUAAAUUUUUAACAUAUUAGUAAUUAGCCUAAAAUGAUUUUUUUGAAAUUAAUUUUUUUAUUAGAGGAUAUAACUUAAAAAUCCAAUUUAAAGCAGAAUAAUUUUAAUAACAUCGGGGCUAAUUAAAAUAAUUGUAGGAAGUAGUCAGUUUUACUUGCAUCUUCAUUGUGUUAAAUUUGAUAAUUAUAUUGGGUAAACUGUCUCUAAAAUGAAGUUAAAAAGUUGCAUAACUGUGAAAUUUGCAAUAUGAUCCAUUAAUUUUUAACCCAUGGAAUAUUAGAUUAUUAGAGCAAUCAUCGUUUGAUUUAGCUGUUAUAUACAUGACAAUUAAAAGUUAAUCCUGUAUUAAUCAGAUUCUCAUGGCAGAUUUUAAUUAAUGUUAGUUUUAAUAAAUAUUCAUUGGAUAUUAUUAAAGAAUUUUUUUAAAAAAAUAUUAUAAGAUAUUAUUAAUAUAUAGAUAAAGGUAUUCUAAGAAAAUUUAAUUUACUGAUAAAAUUUUAUUCGAAUUUAAUAUGAACUUUUAAGAGUCGAUUUGCAUCCUAACUUGACAUUAUAAUACCAAAUUUCAUCCACACGGUUUAUUGAAUUGCAUUCUAGUCUUUAGUCUUUUAUCCUUGCAAAAGUUUGAAUGCUCUUGAAUUGCCUAUGCUUCCUUUUCGUUUAUUAUUUACAUUAUCAUGUUACUUUAUUUGAGGCGAAAUGCGUUAAUUUUGCUAUUACUUUUAUGAAACUGUAAUACUUAGGAGAAUGUCAUAUGUAGGUUGAUGCAGCAUAUGUACUUUGCUUGUAUAUUGCAUUUGGUAGUUGUUUAGGCCCUUGCACGGGCUUGUGUUUUAAUUGGCUUGAAGGUUGUGAGUACUAUCUGUGGGUCGAGUGAAGAUGUCACAGCAGUGAGGUUAAAGAUGUUGGAGGUAUUUUUUGGUUUAUACCAUAUAUAUUCUCUUUGAUUAACUCUGGAAAUCAAGAUAUGUGCGUUGAAGUGUUCGUCUCUAGUUCGGUCGACAUUCUUGAUCUAUGUUGGAAGGUGUAUGAAGCCCUCGGGAGUCGGAACUGAGAUUUGGAGGCAGUGAAUAUAGCAAUACAUGGCGUUGCAGGUCAAUUCUCUGGAGAUAUUUCAAUCAGAAUCGAAUUGUUGAAGCAUUGAAGUCGUUAUUUGAACGUCUCUUGGUUUUUUAUAUGAUGCAGUGCUAUAGUGAGAUUAGUAUUGAAGAGCUCUUGAACAAAUACCAUAAGAGGUACAUGUAGAUUGGCCGUGUAAACCAGUUCCAUUACAUAGUGAAGAUUUUUAAAGUGGACUAAGGUCCCGUGGUUUUUUCCCUUCAAGGGGUUUUCCACGUAAAUUUUGGUGCCCCCUUUUUAUGUUAAUGUUGCGCACUUAUGUCAAUAUCUUUUGCAGUUUUGAUAAUGUUACUAUAGCAGGUAUGAUAACUGUGAGCUGUUUAAUUUAUCAGUAAAUUACUAUGUUUAUUACUAUGGUGUCCUGUUUCUUCUACUGUGUAAGAUUUCUAAAAUCUAGAUUGCAGGUUGAAGGGUGGAAUAAAGGCUGAAACAGAAAUUUGGCUCUUGAUAACUAAAAUUUAGAUUGCAGGUUGAAAGGUGGAUUAAAGCUCAGAAGUUUUUUAUUUUGAAAAAUUCAUUUUAUAGCCAAACCUGUUAUUUAAAAAUUUUAACAUUUUACGGUUUUGAUAAUGUAUACGAUAUAAAUUCAUUUUUUUAGUUUCAGAUUUAGAAUAUUUCCUAGUUUUUAAAUUUUCAUUCAUUUUUUUAAAUGAGAAUUUUAUAAAUUGAAAACGCAAGAAACAAAAAUAAAUAGAGUAUUAGCGGAUAAAUAAUUUUUUACGGCAUCUAGAAAGCAUAUGUGCAUAUGCGACUUCUAAUGUCAAAAACUUUUCGUUACUUGAGCCGAUUAGCAAGUGUUUUUUCCCCAAAAAGUUACAAGCAAGUUUCACAGGCGAUUUGAGGGUGUAAAUAAUGGGGGUAGUUUCCAAUUUACAUAUACCACGAUUAUUUAUCAAAAUGGAUGUUUUUGUACGGUUUUUGAAGGUGUAUUUGAACUUCACGAAUUGAACACUGUACAGGAAAAAUAAAAAGAAAAUCCGGACAUGGGGACGAGGAUUUGAUGAAAACAGGUUAAGUGUGUGUUAAAGAAGAUAGGCAACUUAAUCUGUGAUUUGAAAGAUCUGUAAGCUCAAAAUGGCAGAGCGCUCAAUCCUAUUAAGAGGAUUGAGAGGUCGGUGGUUCAAAUCCACCCAGAUCUCCUGCCUCACGUGUAUCGGGGGAGAUGUUAAAAGAUCUGUGGUUUAAAUCUUAUCCAAAAGGAUUUGAUAUCUUUUAUAAUUUUGAUUUAAAUGAUAAAAAUGAAUUCAAAACCUGCUUUUUCCUUUGGGUGCUAAAAAAUUCAUCUCUUCAAUAUGGCAGUUGCAAGAGACGAUGGGAUGCUGUAAAAGGAUAUGAUUAACCAAAUGUGGGUGAUACAGAUGUCACCUUUGGCAGUGAGGAGAAAGCUUUCGUUCCACAAUGGGAAACAACUUACUACUAUUUGUAGUCCUUUUAAUCUUUUAUUUACUUUCAAUCCAUUUUUUAAUUAUGAAUAUGUUAUUAAAAUUGGUAUUCUUUUUUAUAAUUUAGUAAAGAAAAAUAUAUUUAUAGAACUAUAUGAUUAAAUUUAUUAUUAUGAGUGGAGUGGUAAAAUUUUUUUUUAUAUGAAUGUUUGAUUUUCAAAUAAUAUUUGAAUAUAUGAAAAAAAAUGAAAAUACAUUUAUUCAAAAUGCUAAAAGUUGGUCACAUUACUCAAAAGUUGUUAGCUUCUAUAAAUAUACAUAUUUAUAUUUAUUAGUUUUUAUAAAUAAGUAAUUAACAUCUGCUAAUUUGGUUUCUAUAUUAUAUAUGAUAGUAGCCAAAGUUGAGAGGUUGGAAAGCCGGUAAGGGAUGUGUUUCCAUCUUUCACAGGAACAAAUUUAAUUUACUUUUCUUUGAGGUUAAGAUUUUUAAGUUAUUUUUAAUCAAUUCAUUUCAGUUCCAUUAGAAAUAUAAAAACCACAUCAUCAAAUUCAACAAUUGUAUUUCACUAUUAAACACUCCCAUCUCCCACGCUUCAAGGCUUAGAUACUCCUUUAUUUAAGCAUAUUAAAAAAAUAUUAGGUUUUUAUUCCACUGUUUUCAUUGAUUACAUCUUUAUUUCAGCAUUUAACCUAUAAUUUAGGUCGGACGCAUUUCACAUGUCCACCAAUUAUGUGCUGGUGAGAAACCUUAGUUGGUGAUUUCCAAGCUCAUUCUAGUGAAGCAUCUAUAAUAAUAGCAAAUAAUAAAGUUAUCCAAAAUUCUAGAUUCUCAUCAAAAUAUAAAAUUAUUUAAAGAAAAUAUGGUAUUGAGAUUAUCUCUUAUGUUACAAAAUUUCAACACUACACAAUAUGCCUUAAUGUUUGAAAUCCAAUAUAGUAAUUUCCUUUUAGAAUCUUUACAUUAUUAUUAAAAAUGUAAAAUUUUGUAAAGUAAAUGUUCCUAAAAUAAGUAUAAAAAUCUCUCUUUUGAAUACAUAAUACUCUUACAACUAGAUUCACCGUUUGUGAAUUCAACAAGUAAAACCACAAUACAAGGUUUUACUAUCAAAAUAGCAAUCUUACAAUAACAUUAUCGUAAGAACAGAUUAAGUGCCCAACUCUCUGUACAUUCGCCUAGACAAGUCUCUCAAAUAUGUAAACUUUAAUUUUGAGACUUGCUCACAAAUGAAGAUCUAAAUCAAUCUCACUAAAACAAUAAUACCAUAAGAAUAGUACGUUAUAAAAAUACAUAAUGUAAAUAUGGACUCUUGGAAGCUCAUCCAAUAAAAUCAUGAUCUAAGAGAUUUUCUUAGAAAUUUCAAAUCAAUCCAAUCACCAAAAUGCUAGUUUUAUAUUUUUCAACAAUGUAUAACAUAUAUUUAUUACAAAAUUAUUUGAAAACCAAAUAUGACUUAAGUUUAUAUGGUAAAAAUGAAACCUUUAAAGGUUAUGGUUUUAAGGUUUAAAUUUCACCAUGCGUUUUUAUUCUUCUAAAUUUGUUUUGAGUGUAAAUUGAUGUUUAUAAAUAUAAAAUAUAAAAAGACAAAAGAAAUACUCAUAUUUAUAUUUAUUAUUAUUUUAAAAAAGAAUGGAUAUAUUUUUCAAUUAAAUUAGUAUUUAAUUAAUUCGUCACACUAAUUCAAUAAAAAAUUUAAUAUAAGAUAGAUCAAAUUAUUAUUGUUUUGGGUUGGGAAAGAGGGUUUCGACAUUUGAUUAUGGAAGGUGAUAAUAUAAAUCCAGUUUGGUUGUGUACAGAGAGGCCCGUUGGACUGGGAAUGGACUAUUAGGGUUUGUCAUGUUGAUCGAGGAAAGAAUAGGGUGGCGAAUUACGUUGUCAAGUCAUCCCGGAGGGGUGAGUGUGUGAAUACGCUACUAGAGAGGCCAUUACCUGGUUGUUGGGAGAAAUUAUUUUAUGGAUCAUUCCUACCACAUCAUCCAUGGUCCCUUUCUAAUUAUUUAAUGACAUUUCAACAAUUUUUUCUAUGUCAUUGACUAUAACCUCCUUAACCCGACCUAGACAUUAUGGCCAGAUUGAGAAGGCUACACUAACCACCGAAAUGGCUAAAUAACCCAACAAAUCUUUUUAAACCCUAAAUCGUCUAAUCAUUAAAAAAUCAUGGUUGAUGUUACUUCAAGUUAGAUUUGAAACGUUUAUUUAUUAAGCCGUCUGUACUUAGAAACCAUUUAAUUAUUGAUAGUGAUAUUUUAGAAAACUUUUUGUGUUGACACUUAAAUUUUAGAAAAAUCCGUUUAUUUGAUACAACGAAAAUCGAUAAAUAUGUCAGAUUUUACUUAGGCAGAUUAAUAUGCAAUUACUGGUUACUAAGUCUGAACUAGUAGAAUGAGUUAUGCAUGCGUAAAAAUAAUCCCCAAAACAAAAACUGCCAAGCCAAAGUCCAAAUAAUAAAUUUACAGUCCAAUACUAGUUGUAACAGUCUGUUUUUCUAGUGGUGUCGGAAACAGUAGUUUUGAAGCCACAACUCUGGCGUGUCAGUCCAUAAAUAUUAAUUAUUUAAUAUUUAUGAGGUCAUUAGUGCUGUAUUAAAAUAUAGUUAGGAAAUUUUAUCGUUUGGAUAGUCAAUUAAGUAAAAAUGACUAAAUCGUAAAAAUUAUAAAAGUUAAUCUCUAUUAGUUAAAUCUAUCAAAUGGUUACAAGAAGACAAUAUAAGAGAUUUAAAUGAUAAUUAUACUAUUUGAAUAAUUAGUGGACGGUUUGAGUGGCAAAUAGCAUGAAAUUUUAUUUAAUUUUUAAGGUUAUAAUGGUUAUCUAGAAAUUAAACAAAAUUUAAGUAAAACAAAAGCCAAAAUGGCUAUCACCAUCUUCAUUCUUCCAUCUUUAGCCAAAACCACCAUAGUAAGGGAGAGAACACUUUCUGUCAAGCUUAGGGCUUCAUGAAUGAUAGGUAAAUCUUGUUCGUUUUUAGUAAUUUUUAUGUUUCUAAGCUCGUAUUAGCUUGAUCUAGCUAACCCGAUGACUAAUUUGUAAAAAUGUUAAAUAUUAUGGGUUAUGCCAUUGAUAAGUUUGGGUUGUUCUUGAAGUUUUAUGAUAGAUUAUUAAGCUUGGUUUAUAAAUAGGAUUGUCUUGUAAAGUAAUUUUUGGUAAUUUUAAUGUUUAAGGACUAAAAUGUGAAAAUACUAAAUUUACUUGUACUUGCUAUGAAUUAACAUUAAAUAUGGACUGUAGUGAAGUCUUAAACAGUUCGGCUAAGAUGGGGUUUAGUGGAAAUUGGUUAAAUUACAAGUUUUGGACUUAAAGACUAAAUUGCAUAAAAGGGAAAAUGUUAGGGGUAAUUUUGUAAAAAUGUAUAAAAGAAAUUAAUAGCAUAAAUGAGUUAAUUUUUCUGUUGGUAUUGGUUAACUGAAUAGAAUUAUUAUUCAAGAUCAAGAACGAGUUAAAAAUCGAGGAAAAGAGAAAGUUGUUGAAUAGUCCCUAAACUUUUGUCAUUGCUGCAGUUUAACUUAAUAAGUUCGUUAGGUUUAAUUUGUUUAUCUUGAAAUUUUUUGAAUUAUAAAUUGAUAUUGAAUGUUCAAUUAAGCAUUGGAUGUUGAGGUGAUGAACAUUGAAGUUAUGAAUUAUAUGCAAAAUUCAUUAGAAAUGUGUUUUUUUUGUGCCGGAUGAAUGUAGGAUAGAGAACGAUUGGCAUGCCAAUAGGUUAUGUUGCACGCUGUACGAGUUUAACUUGAGAUGAGACGUUGAUUCUUGAUCUACUCUUGUUCACUGAAUAUACCAAAGUCCUGCAUUUUUUGCGGACUAUCGUGUUAUAUUAUAGUGUUUUCUAGCAUGUUACUUGGGGCGGAUGUUAGCCUAAGGGCUAGGCACUUUGUGUCGAGGCGUAUUAACAGUUUGAUUGGUUCGUAUGAGCGCUUGGCGUGUUUUGGAUGGUUAACCAUGUACUUAUAUUCACAUAUCGUUCAUCAGGCAAUGUUAGUGAUAAUCGAAUGUUACUGAAAUGUGGAAAGCUUGAUUUGCAUUCAUGAUUGAGUAUCGACUCACCUGUUGUGACUAUGAUUGAUAGGAAGCUUUGAUUAUGAAACUUGUUAUUAAAAUUGAUAUAUUUAAUUCGGUAAACUUUAUCGUUUUAAUCGUUAAACUUACUAAGCUUUAUAGAAACUUACUCGUGUUAUUUAUCUUAUUUUCUUGUAGAUAGCUUUUGGUGGAAAAUUGGGUGAUCAGAUCAACUUGGAGAAAUCACACUAUCCGAGGACCAUUUGGUAGAUUUUGAAUACAAACUUUGGCUUGUAUGGCAUGUACUAGGAGAAUUUGAAUAUGUUUUGUAAUAGUUUGUAAAUACUCGUAUUAUAAAAAUUAUGUGCAUAUAAUGUUGUUGUGUAAACUUAUUAUGUAAUGUAUGCAUGCAUGAGUGCUAAGUUAUAGUACAUGUGAAAGGACUUGAAUGUGAAGGAUAUAUGGUAAUUUUAGCAUGAAGUGAUGUGUGGUGUUUUGUGAAUGAAUGCAAGUUGUUUAGAAGAUGUUCUUAUAGCUCAAGUAUUUAGCUAAGAUGUAGAUUGUUAGGUAUUUGAAUUGUGGUGUCAAUGAUAACACAUUGGUUUGACAUCUAGGUUGAUUGUUUGGUAUGCUUUGAGUGUUUUGAAGGCUUGUAUGCAUGUACUUUUGGUGUGAUUGGUUACUUAAGCAUUUGGGAGUGGAAACGACAAGUUUUGGGCCAAAUUUGGAUGCACUCGACCUGUCACAUAUUUGUGUGUCAUACACAGCCUACUCACACAGCCAUGUGCUUUAUUUUUCAGUAAGGUUGGCCCACACAGGCACAAUGAGUUACAUGGCUUGGCGACACGAUUGUGUGACCCUAAGUUACACGGUCACAUUGGGUUACACGGUCUAGCCAUAUGGUCCUUUGACCUCUUAUUACACGGGCACAGUUAGUUACAUGGUCAGCGUACAAGGGUGUAUGAAGUAGUCACACGGCUGUGUCUUGAACCAGACGGUCUGGGCUCUGUCACACGGCCUGGACACAUGGCUGUGUGACCCCUAUUUUGAAAAUUUUCAUAUUUUUCCUAAAUCUUCUGAUUUGUUUCUAAUUGGUCUCCGAUUGUUUCUAAAAGAUUUUUAAGCCUCGUAAACCCAAUUUUAGGCCCAUGAGUAUAUGUUUCACUUUAAAUUACAUGAUAAUACAAAUGUUGAUAAUUAAUUAGAAAUUUUGAUGCUCUUUCAUACUAAAUGUUUUGAGCUGUAUUGUAAUACUCCGUAACCCUACUCCGACGAUGAAGACGGAUUAGAGGUGUUACACCAGUCAAAAAUUAUAAAGAAAAUAAUUUAAUAUAAAGAUAGCCCAGUGUCUGAAGAGACAUUCUCAUGUCGGGUCCAAUCCUAGUCUCGAGUAGCUCGUACCCGUCAAUUGCAGACUUUCGUCGACCUCCAACACUCCCUAAUAUACAAUGCCAGUUUAGACAUGAUGACUUUGUAGUACAUCGACACAUUCAUGCUAUACCGCUUAAUGACAAAUACGCAAUGUAACGGCCUAAUUUUCAGUGGUGUCGGAAAUGGUGAUUUGAGAUCACUAAAUUCGAAAAAUAAGAUUGAACAAGAUAGUAAUUUAAUAUUUAUGAGUCAAGUAAGAAUUUAGAAGAAUUUGUGAAAUGGUGAAAUUAGUGAAUUAAAAGAAUUUAUUAGGUCAAACGGGUCAAAAAUGAGGUAUCGAGACCUCAAAGUUGAAAAUUGAGCUAUAAAUAUUUUUAUAAAUAUUUAUGUAGUGUCAUUGAGUUAGUAUUAAAGUUUCGUUAGAAAAUUUUAACGUUUGGAUGGCUAAUUAAUUAAAAAGGACUAAAUUGAAAAUAGCGCAAAAUUUGUUAAAUUGUGAGUAAAUAGCUUAAGUAUUUAAAAAGAUGGAUUUAAAGAGCAAUUAGACCCAAAGGUUAAUGGCUGGACGGUUUGGGUAUGAAAUAAGCAAGAAAACAAUGUGAACAAGGGGCAAAAUUGGAAAUAGCAUAAAAGUUAAUAGUUAAAUAAUGAUGUAAUUGAAAAAUCUAGACAUUUCUUCAUAUUUUCUCAGCCAAAACGCCAUAGAAGGUCUGGAGAAAGCUGGUUUUUCAUAUUUUUACAUCAUGUGAGUUUAAUUCUUACUUUUCUUGAUAAUUUUUAUGUUUUUAUGACUUUUACAAUUAGGUCCACUUGUAGAAUUCAUUAGUUUUUGAUUUUAUGGGUGAAAUUGGAAGUUACCUUGGAUGGAUAAGGGAAUUUUAUGAUGAAUUAUUAUGAAAUUUAAGUUCUAAUUUCAUAUUAAGGUGGUUUUAUUAAGUGAUUUUGAUAGGAAAUGAUAUUUAGGACCUAAUUGUGAAAAAGUUGUGAAUUGAAGGUUUCUGUUGAAAUUAAGAAUAUAAAAGGUUUUGAAAUAGUUUAUAAUGAUAACAUAAAGUGUUAAUUGAGAAAAAUUAGUUCAAUUGAUGGGUGAAUUGAGCAGGGACUAAAUUGUGAAAACUGUAAAUUUUAGGGUAAAAGUGCAAUUUCUAAAUUUGAACAGCAUAAAUUGUGAAGUGAAAUAGAAUUGAAAUGGAUGCUAAUGAAGGAAUGAUUUUAUAAUUAUAGAUCAAGAAAACGAACUGAAUCGUGGAAAGGAGAAAAUUCAAGAAUAGUCCCUGAAUUUCUACGACUUUUGCAAAUUAGUCCAGGUAAGUUCAUAUGGAAAAGUUAAAUGUUUUGAUAUGAAAAUCUUAUGAUUGUUAAAGUACUUUAUUUUUGAUGAAUACUAUCAAUUUGCAUUAACUAAUGAAUAAUGUGUAACUAAAAGUACAAAUUAGUAGGAACAAUGGAUUUGAGUGCUUUUAUUCUGUGACCCUGAUGAAUUGACGAAAAUAUGUGAUAAGUGUGCCCGUUUAAGACCAUAGCUGGGCUAUGGCAUCGGUGCAAUGUGAUAAUGUGACUCCGUAUAAGACCAUAGCUGGGCUAUGGCAUCGGUAUAAUGUGAUAAUGUGAUUCCGUAUAAGACCAUGUCUGGGAUAUGGCUUCGGUAUGAUAUGUGAACGUGUAAGACCAUGGCAAGGCUAUGGCUUCGGUGUGUGAUGCGUAACAAUGUGAAAGUCCAUAGUUUACUAUGGCAAUGUGAUAAUGAAGCACUCAAUUCCCUUAUUGUUCCUUAAAUUGACAAUGAAGUAAAUGAGAAAUGGGCCUAAAGGAGUUAAAUUGUGAGUAGCCAUAUGGAAAUUAUUCCAAUGAGUUAUUAAUGAAAUUGUGAUUUGGAGGAUGAAAUAGUUAAACUAAUAGAUAUAAGAUUGUGUACGAUAUUUGAUAUGAUUAGUGUUUAUAUGCCUAUGAGCUUACUAAGCUUCAAUAAGCUUACUUGUGUGUGUUUAAUAUUUUUAUGUAGAUUGACUUGAAGUGAAGUGGGUAGAUCGGAUCAACACAACAGGGCACACUAUUCAAAUCAAUUCUGGUAGUUUUUGUUUUAUGUUUAAAGAUUUAUAUGGCAUGUAUAGAGUUUGAAUGAAUUGAAGUAAAGAUGUUAUGAACUAGUUAACCAUAUUUGUACUAAAACAGUUUUUGGUAAGUAGCAGUAGUUUGACUUUGAAAAUUCACCAUAAAUUGUGGAAAUUGAGUUAAGGGCUGGAAAAAAAAUGAGAUUAAAGCCUAAUGAGUCUAGUUUCAUAUAAAGGAAACGGUGCAUGCAAUUGGAUUUUAUGUUAUGAGAUAUUUAAAUUUUGGUGAGACAGAGUCUGAAUGACUUCGAGUUCCCCUGUUCUGAUUUUAGAAAAUCAUUAAAAAUUUCACAAAAAUAAUUAUGAGUCAUACUAUCUAUGUAUGGAUUCCUCAUUGGGUCUAUUUUUAAGAUACACAAACGGCAUGGUUUAUUUGAAUUUUUUACAGAGAGAAAUUUGGUUCGUAGUGCACAGGGGUCAAAGUAGGGAAACCUUGAAAUAGGGGAGGAUUUAACUAAUAAAAUGUACUAAUUGGACCAACCAAAAAUUGUAAAAAAAAUUGUUAAGUAGAUAUAUGAGUAUAAAUUCGGGUAAAAUUUACGGAUUUGGGUUUUGAGUUUUAUAACUCGAGAUAUGAAUUAUUUAGCAACUAUGACGCAGUUGGACAGCUUGUCUGAAAAGUAUGAUAUAAAUUAUCUAAAUUUGGUUAAGUGCUCAAAUAAGUUUAGUAGUGCCUUGUGCUCGACUCCGGCAACGGUCUCGGGUAAGGGGCGUUACAUUUAUUGGUAUCAGAGCUUCGGUUUAGCCGAUUCUCUGAAUAUGUAUGAUGUGAAAAGUGUCUAGAAUUACAUGCCAUAUAAAUCUGUGAUAGUGUGCUGUGUAUGAUCCGAUCUAAUCCUUGUUUUUAUUAUAGAUUAUCUUCAAUUUGAAAAGAUGUCAGAUAGACCAUAACAAACUGAGCAAGAAGAAGUUAAUAGCAGAGUACAAACCUCUGAACAAGGAACAAGUAGUGAAGCUCCGAUUUCCAUUGAUGCGAGAACAGAAAUCAAAAAUAUGAUUUAUGGAUUCAUGAAUCAGUGGUAUAAUGAGAAUGUGCGAGAAAGAAAUCAGACUGCACCAACCUCCUCCCCCUAUCUUAACAUCUGUAGUACCCCCGGUUGCUCCUCUACCUCCUCCGACAACUGAAUCUGGCAAACGUUCUCCAUUUGAAAAGCUCAGAAAACAUGGGGCUGAAGAAUUCGGGGAAGAACAUAUGAUGACCCCGUUAAAGCUGAAUAUUGGUUACAAAGUAUAAUGAGGGUUUUUAAGCAAAUGGCGUGCUCACCAGAUGAUUACUUAAUAUGUGCCGUGUCAUUAUUGAAAGAAGAAGCUUAUAACUGGUGGGAAACAAUAGAAGCUGUUGUACCGGCUGAGAAGAUCACUUGGGAAUUUUUUUCAAAAUGAAUUUAAGAAGAAAUAUGUCGGUAGAAGAUAUCUGGAUAAGAAGAAAAGAGAAUUCUUCUCGACUUGCGACAGGGAAACAAGUCAGUGGCUGAAUAUGAAAGAGAAUUUGUUUAUCUGAGCAAAUAUGCUCGAGAUAUAAUACCCACAGAAGAAGAAAUGUGUAUCAGAUUUGAAGAAGGGCUUAAUGAUGAGAUUUAAAAUGAUGAUAGGGGGCAUUGAGAUACGAGAAUUUAUUGUUCUAUCAGAUCGUGCUCAGAAGCUUGAAGAAGUAUAUAAUAAAAAGAUGCAACGAGAUAGAAGAAGUAAAGAAUCUUUCAAAAGAAGUGCAUUUAAGUCAUUUUCGGCUUUACCAGUGAAGAAAUCUAAAGAGGAAUUCAGUCGAGCCACUUCAGUGCCGGAAAGAUCAGGAAAAAGUAGGCCAAGACAAUCUGAUUACAAAGCAUCUGACAGACCUGCUGUUAGUGUGGGUAGUGUACAAAAUACCCAAAGGCCUAAGUGUCAACAUUGUGGAAGAAGUCACCCCGGUGAAUGUUGAAGUAAGUUAGGGGCUUGUUAUAAAUGUGGGGCCACUGAUCACUUUAUUCGUGAUUGUCCCCAAUUACAAGUAGAAGAAGUGGAACAGAGGGAGAAACAGAAAAUUCUUCCUCAAAAAGGAAGACGCUCUGGUCAGAGCAGUGCUACAGAGGCUACUCGUUCGGGUAUGAAAGAUACUGCUAGCUGAUCAAAAGUUAGGGCUCCUGCUCGUACUUAUGCCAUUCGAGCGAGAGAAGAAGCAACAGCUCCAGUGUAAUUGCUGGUACUUUCUAUCUUUAUGAUGUUCCUGUGUAUGCUUUAAUAGACCCUGGGUCUACUCAUUCAUAUAUUUGCACUAUGUUAGCAUCUGAAAAGAACUUAUUUGUUGAGCCUACUGAUUAUGAUGUACAAGUUACAAAUCCGUUAGGUCAAAGUGUGGUAGUUAAUUUAAUAUGUCAUAACUGUCCACUGAAGUUAAGGGCUGUGAUUUCCCCGCUGAUUUGAUGCUGCUACCCUUUCGUGAAUUUGAUAUUAUCUUGGGCAUGGACUGGUUAAUGAAACAUGACGCGGUAGUGAAUUGUCGAGAAAAACGAAUUAGCUUGAAAUGUCAAACAGGAGAUAUUGUUUUGGUUGAGUCUGGGAAUUUGGAUGACAUGGUUAGAAUGAUUUCCUUUAUGUCUGCUCAGAAAUUGUUUGCGUAAAGGAAAUGAGGCUUAUUUAGCCUAUAUUCUUGAUACUCGAAGUUCUAAAUCAAAGUUAGAGCAACUAUCUGUUGUAAAUGAAUUCAUGGAUGUAUUUCCUGAAGAAUUACCAGGUUUACCACCUGAUAGAGAAGUUGAGUUCGUGAUAGAUGUGCUUCCAGGAACAGCUCCCAUAUCAGUGACACCGUAUAGAAUGGCUCCAGCAGAAUUAAGAGAGUUAAAAGCGCAGUUGCAAGAACUGUUAGACAAAGGGUUUAUCAGACCGAGUAUGUCACCAUGGGGUGCACCUGUCUUAUUUGUGAAAAAGAAGGAUGGUUCAUUGAGGCUGUGCAUAGAUUACAGGCAGCUGAAUAAGGGUAACAAUUAAAAAUAAAUAUCCUUUGCCUCGUAUUGAUGAUUUAUUCGAUCAGCUUAAGGAUGCUACAGUGUUUUCAAAAAUAGAUCUCAGAUCUGGGUAUUAUCAGUUAAAGGUAAAGGAAUGUGAUGUACCGAAAACAGCUUUUAGAACUCGGUAUGGUCAUUAUGAGUUCUUAGUUAUGCCAUUCGGUUUGACAAAUGCUCCUGCUGCUUUUAUGGAUUUAAUGAAUCGAAUUUUCCAUUCUUACCUGGAUAGAUUUGUGGUUGUGUUUAUUGACGAUAUACUGAUCUAUUCAAAGACAGAAUCCGAGCAUGCUCAGCACUUGAGAAUUGUACUACAGAUAUUAAGGGAAAACAGUUAUAUGCAAAAUUUAGUAAAUGUGAAUUUUGGCUUCAUGAAGUGGGAUUCUUGGGUCACAUUGUGUCAGUUGAUGGUAUACGGGUAGAUCCGAGUAAGGUGUCAGCGGUGAUUAAUUGGAAAACUCCAAAGAAUGUUACGGAAGUGCUAAGUUUCCUUGGAUUAGCUGGUUACUAUCGUCGAUUUGUGAAAGAUUUUUCACUGAUUGCUUCACCGAUAACUAAAUUAUUACAGAAGAAUGUUGAGUUUGUAUGGUCUGAUGAGUGCCAACAAAGUUUUGAUCAAUUAAAAAAAAUGUUGACAGAGGCUCCGGUGUUAACAUCAGCCUGAAUCAGGUGUGCCAUAUAUAGCUAUAUAGUGAUGCGUCUCUGAAUGGUUUAGGUUGUGCAUUGAUGCAGUCAGGAAAAGUUGUAGCAUAUGCUUCUCGACAGUUGAAACCACAUGAGAGGAACUACCCUACACAUGAUCUUGAAUUAGCUGCCAUAGUAUUUGCUUUAAAAAUUUGGAGACACUACCUAUAUGGAGAGAAAUGUUAUGUGUAUAUAGACCAUAAAAGUUUGAAAUAUUUAAUGUCGCAGAAAGAGCUGAAUUUGAGACAGAGGCGAUGGUUAGAGCUGUUGAAAGAUUACGAUCUUAUCAUUGAUUAUCAUCCGGGUAAGGCAAAUGUAGUGGCAGAUGCACUUAGUUGGAAUCAUCAUUAUUUGCUCUUCGGGCAUUAAAUGCUCAUUUGUCUGUUAAUGAAAAUGGUUCUAUAUUAGCUGAAUUAAAGACAAAACCAGUAUUCUUUCAACGAAUUCGGGAAUUGCAAGAUGAAGAUCCGAAGUUGGUGUUGAAACGACAAAUGGUUCGGGAUAAUUUGAACUUAGAUUACUCUAUUGAUAAUAGUGGUAUGUUAUACCAUCGUAAUAGAAUUUGUGUCCCGAAUAAUCUAGAAUUGAAGAAGGAUAUCUUAUCAGAGGCUCAUAGUAGUAUGUACUCGAUUCAUCCGGGUAGUACGAAGAUGUAUUGUGAUUUGAAAAAAAUGUAUUGGUGGCCUGGUAUGAAACGGGAAAUUUGUGAAUUUGUGGCAAAAUGUUUAAUCUGUCAACAGGUAAAAGCUGAACAUCAAGUGCCUACAGGUUUGUUACAACCCGUAAUGAUUCCAGAAUGGAAGUGGGAACAUGUGACGAUGGAUUUUGUAUCUGGAUUGCCAGUGACUCCGAAGAAAAAAGAUUCGAUUUGGGUGAUAGUAGACAGAUUAACUAAAUCGGCGCAUUUUAUUCCGGUCAGAACAGAUUUUUCACUUGAUAAGUUAGCGGAAUUAUAUGUGUCAGAAAUUGUGAGAUUACAUGGGGUGCCGACAUCAAUUAUUUCUGAUCGAGAUCCGAGGUUUACUUCGAGAUUUUGGAAUAAACUACAGGAAGCUUUAGGUACUAAGUUAAAAUUUAGUACAGCUUUUCACCCUCAGACAGAUGGCAAUCAGAGCGAGUGAUUCAGAUUUUGGAAGAUAUGUUAAGGUGCUGUAUACUCGAGUUCAGUGGCAGCUGGGAAAGGUACUUACCUUUAGCUGAAUUUGCUUAUAAUAACAGUUAUCAAGCUAGUAUCAAAAUGGCACCGUUUGAAGCUCUGUAUGGAAGGAAGUGCAGAACCCCGUUGUAUUGGUCAGAAUUAAGUGAAUCGAAAUUAGUCGGAGUGGAUUUAAUUCGGGAAACUGAAGAGAAAGUUAGAUUAUUCGGGAAAGUUUGAAAGCUGCUUCCGAUCGUCAAAAGUCGUAUGCAGAUUUGAAAAGAAGAUAUAGAGUUCAAUGUGGGUGAUCGUGUGUUCUUGAAAGUUUCUCCGUGGAAGAAAGUUUUACGGUUUGGUAGAAAAGGAAAGCUUAGUCCACGAUUUAUCGGACCAUACGAAAUCAUUGAGAGGAUCGGUCCGGUAGCUUAUAGAUUGGCCUUGCCUCCAGAACUUGAGAAGAUCCAUAAUGUAUUUCAUGUAUCUAUGUUGAGACGAUAUAGAUCAGACCCUUCACAUGUGAUUCCUCAUACUGAGAUAGAGCUACAAUCAGAUAUGACUUAUUCGGAGGAACCAGUGAAAUAUUAGCUCGGGAAGUUAAAGAACUACGGAAUAAACGAGUACCGUUAGUAAAAGUGUUAUGGCAUCGACAUGGAUUGGAGGAGGCAACCUGGGAAACGAGAAUCUAUAAGAUCACAAUAUCCCAUUUAUUUUCAGGUAACAAAUUUCGAGGACGAAAUUUUUAAAGGGGGGAGAGUUGUAACCGGCCUAAUUUUCAGUGGUGUCGGAAAUGGUGAUUUGAGAUCACUAAAUUCGACAAAUAAGAUUGAACAAGAUAGUAAUUUAAUAUUUAUGAGUCAAGUAAGAAUUUAGAAGAAUUUGUGAAAUGGUGAAUGGUGAAAUUGUGAAUUAAAAGAAUUUAUUAGGUCAAACGGGUCAAAAACGAGGUAUCGAGACCUCAAAGUUGAAAAUCGAAGCUAUAAAUAUUUUUAUAAAUAUUUAUGGAGUGUCAUUUUAGUAUUAAAGUUUCGUUAGAAAAUUUUACGUUUGGAUGGCUAAUUAAUUAAAAAGGACUAAAUUGUAAAAAAUAAAUUUUGCUAAAAGUGUAAAUAGCUAAGUGUUAAAAAGAAGAUUUAAAGGGAAAUUAGACCCAAAGUUAAUGGCUGGACGAAAAAGGCAAGAAAACAGCAGAACAAGGGGGCAAAAUUGGAAAUAUACAACUUUAAUAGUUAAAUAAGAUGUAAUUGAAAAUCUAGACAUUUCUUCAUAUUUUCUCAGCCAAAAAGCCAUAGAAGGUCUGGAGAAAGCUGGUUUUUCAUAUUUUUACAUCAUGUAGUUUAAUUCUUACUUUUUCUUGAUAAUUUUUAUGUUUUGUGACUUUUACAACUAGGUCCACUUGUAAUUCAUUAUUUUUUGAUUUUAUGGGUAAUUGGAAGUUACCCAUGAUAAGGGAAAUUUAUGAUGAUUAUAUGAUUAAGUUUUAAUUCUAAUUAUUAAUGUUUUAUUAAGUGAUUUUGAUAGAAAUGAUAUUUAGGACCUAAUUGUGAAAAGUUAUAAAAUUGAAGGUUUCUGUGAUGAAAUUUGAAUGUCAAAGGUUUUGAAAUAGUUUAUAAUGAUAAAUAAAGUGUUAAUUGAGAAAAUUAGUUCAAUUGAUGUGAAUUGAGCAGGGACUAAAUGUGAAAAACUUAAAUUUUGGGUAAUUGGUAAUUUCGAAAUUUAAAGCAUAAAUUGUGAAAUGAAAUAGAAUUGAAAUGGAUGCUAAUGAAGGAAUGAUUUUAUAAUUAUAGAUCAAGAAAACGAACUGAAUCGUGGAAAAGAGAAAAUUCAAGAAUAGUCCCUGAAUUUCUACGACUUUUGCAAAUUAGUCCAGGUAAGUUCAUAUGGCAAAGUUCAAUGUUUUGAUAUGAAAAUCUUAUGAUUGUUAAAGUAUUUUUGUUGAUGAAUACUAUCAAUUUGCAUUAACUAAUAAAUAAUGUGUAACUAAAAGUACAAAUUAGUAGGAACAAUGGAUUUGAGUGCUUCUAUUCUGUGACCCUGAUGAAUUGACGAAAAAUAUGUGAUAAGUGCGCCCGUUUAAGACCAUAGCUGGGCUAUGGCAUCGGUGCAAUGUGAUAAUGUGACUCCGUAUAAGACCAUCUGGGCUAUGGCAUCGGUUAUAAUGUGAUAAUGUGAUUCCGUAUAAGACCAUGUCUGGGAUAUGGCUUCGGUAUGAUAUGUGAACCGUGUAAGACCAUGGCAAGGCUAUGGCUUCGGUGUGUGAUGCGUAACAAUGUGAAAGUCCAUAGUUUACUAUGGCAAUGUGAUAAUGAAGCACUCAAUUCCCUUAUUGUUCCCUAAUUUGACAAUGAAGUAAAUGAGAAAUGGGCCUAAGGGAGUUAAAUUGUGAGUAGCCAUAUGGAAAUUAUUCCAAUGAGUUAUUAAUGAAAUUGUGAUUUGGAGGAUGAAAUAGUUAAACUAAUAGAUAUAUGAUUGUGUACAAUAUUUGAUAUGAUUUGUGUUUUUAUGCCUAUGAGCUUACUAAGCUUCAAUAAGCUUACUUGUGUGUGUUUAAUUCUUUUGUAGAUUGAUUAAAGAGAAGUUGGUAGAUCGGAUCAACACAACAGGGCACACUAUUCAGAUCAAUUGCGGUAGUUUUUGUUUUAUGUUUAAAGAUUUUAUGGCAUGUAUAGAGUUUGAUGAAUUGAAGUAAAGAUGUUAUAACUAGUUAACAAUAUUUGUACUAAAAAAUAGUUUUUGGUAAGUAACAGUAGUUUGACUUUGAAAAUUCACCAUAAAUUGUGGAAAUUGAGUUAAGGGCUAAGAAAAAAAUGAGAUUAAAGCCUAAUGAGUUAGUUUUAUAGAGGAACGGUGCAUGCAAUUGGAUUUUAUGUUAUGAGAUAUUUAAAUUGUGGUGAGACAGAGUCAAUGACUCGAGUUCCCUGUUCUGAUUUAGAAAAUCAUUAAAAUUGCACAAAAAUAAUUAUGAGUCAUACUGUAUAUGUAUGGAUUCCUCAUUGGUCUAUUUUUAAGAGAAACAAAUGCAUAGUUAUUUGAAUUUGUACAGAGAGAAAUUUGGUUCGUAGUGCAGGGGUCAAAGUAGCCAAACCCUAAACAGGGGAGGAUUUAACUAAUAAACUGUACUAAUUGGACCCAACCAAAAAUUAUAUAAAAAAAUUGGUAAGUAUAUAUGAGUAUAAAUUCGGGAAAAUUUACGGAUUUGGAUUUCGAGUUUUAUAACUCGAGAUAUGAAUUAUUUAGCAACUAUGACGCAGUUGGACAGCUUGUCUGAAAAGUAUGAUAUAAAUUAUCUGAAUUUGGUUAAGUGCUCAAAUAAGUUUAGUAGUGCCNNNNNNNNNNNNNNNNNNNNNNNNNNNNNNNNNNNNNNNNNNNNNNNNNNNNNNNNNNNNNNNNNNNNNNNNNNNNNNNNNNNNNNNNNNNNNNNNNNNNNNNNNNNNNNNNNNNNNNNNNNNNNNNNNNNNNNNNNNNNNNNNNNNNNNNNNNNNNNNNNNNNNNNNNNNNNNNNNNNNNNNNNNNNNNNNNNNNNNNNNNNNNNNNNNNNNNNNNNNNNNNNNNNNNNNNNNNNNNNNNNNNNNNNNNNNNNNNNNNNNNNNNNNNNNNNNNNNNNNNNNNNNNNNNNNNNNNNNNNNNNNNNNNNNNNNNNNNNNNNNNNNNNNNNNNNNNNNNNNNNNNNNNNNNNNNNNNNNNNNNNNNNNNNNNNNNNNNNNNNNNNNNNNNNNNNNNNNNNNNNNNNNNNNNNNNNNNNNNNNNNNNNNNNNNNNNNNNNNNNNNNNNNNNNNNNNNNNNNNNNNNNNNNNNNNNNNNNNNNNNNNNNNNNNNNNNNNNNNNNAAAAUCUAAAUCCAACAGAACUUGCGUACCUACAACGCAAUUUCGCAACAUUGACCUGUAUACAACUCAUAUCAAUGUUUCACGUGGACGUGGUGCCCUACUAUUCGUCGCUUCUACGUAAUUUUUCUCUCCCUUCCGCAAUAGUUUUUCUAAAAACAAAAAAAAGAGGCCGUCUUAAUUACACGUGGAUCCAUCUCACCCAUUUAUCCUUCCUAUCUUCCUUGUCUUGGCCGUUCGUUGUUCUGAAACCACCUAUAAAUAGGGUUUGAGAUAAGGUCUGUUUUCAUUCCAACUAUUAAUAUCGCUUGGUUUUUCCUUCUUCCUAAGCCUUACGGUUUCUGUUUGCGGAUGAGAUUUUCCUCCCUUUCCUUCCGAGGAUUCUGUCCUCAGAUCCUGCUCGCAAUCGGUUCAACAUAUCCUCUUUGAUUUCUGAUGUUGUACUGUGAAAGGAGUAGCGUCGUUGGAUCGAUGGUUUUAAGAGGCCUUUGCUGGGCAAGGAAGCAAAGAUUGGCAGGAUUCAAGUUCUUGCUGCUUUUUAAGUAUGUUGUGUCAGUUUCUUUUUUUUACCUGAUAUUAUCAAGUCAUAGGCUUGUCUUAUACAUGUUUGUGUGUGUUCUUGUAAAUUUUGCAGGGAUGGUCUCACCAGGGGCUGAGAUUUAUACGCUCUUCAGAUGUAAGUUGAAAAUAAACAAGGCAUCUGAUUGUGUGAGACGGGCGACGUGAGAUUGAAUCGGCUGGUUUGCUUAUGAAAGGAUGUGUAAGAUAUCCGGGCAAAAAGUCCUACUGAUAAUAUUUUUUUGAAGGGGACCGUGUCCUGAUCUAUCUUUGUCGUCCGAGACCUUUGCCAUGACAGGGUGCGCUUGCAUGGCAGGUCACCAAACUUAAUAAAAAAUAGAACUUUUUUUGUGGUGUUUUUUGAGGGGAGAUCGCACGGGGGUUUGCCCGGGUUCUCCCUUCUGCUGUGGUGUCUAGUAUCGUGUCUUCUCUUCUUUUUCUUCUAUUUCCCUUGCUCUCUUCCAUUAUUUUGCAUCAUACGGGAUGGAUGUAUGAUCCAACAUCAUCACCAACGUCGGAAUAAGCUCAUGAACUCCAAGCUAUAUCACUAGCGAUUCUCAAGGCCAAGGUAUUAUUUUUCCAUAUUUUUAACACCCAAUCCGCCUUAUCUAAUUCUACUUUAAAAUCUAAUUAUAAAUUUUAUUAUCAUGCAAUUAGUUAACUUGACAAAAGUCAAUAAGUCGUAUAUAAUUAGAUUUUAACAUAUUUUUAAGGGUUUAAUCUUUUAUAUUAAUAAUUGAUCUUA